rnacentral:rRNA from 1 species
AGGACGAACGCUGGCGGCGUGCUUAACACAUGCAAGUCGAACGGAAAGGCCCUUCGGGGUACUCGAGUGGCGAACGGGUGAGUAACACGUGAGCAACCUGCCCUUAGCUCUGGGAUAGCUCCGGGAAACCGGAAUUAAUACCGGAUAUGACCUAGGCCGACAUCGGCCGUGGUGGAAAGUUUUUCGGCUAGGGAUGGACUCGCGGCCUAUCAGCUAGUUGGUGGGGUAAUGGCCUACCAAGGCGACGACGGGUAGCCGGCCUGAGAGGGCGACCGGCCACACUGGGACUGAGACACGGCCCAGACUCCUACGGGAGGCAGCAGUGGGGAAUCUUGCGCAAUGGGCGAAAGCCUGACGCAGCGACGCCGCGUGGGGGAUGAAGGCCUUCGGGUUGUAACCCUUUCAGCAGGGACGAAGCGAAAGUGACGGUACCUGCAGAAGAAGCGCCGGCUAACUACGCGCCAGCAGCCGC